GUUUUGAUAUUCCUCUCCAAAACAAUCACUUUUAUCAGGCAACCACGUUUUUCUUUUCUUCCUUUCUUUUUGGGUAUUUAAUAAAAAAGAGUUGUUUGAGUUUCCUCCUUUUCACAAGAAAAGAAAAAAAAGACAAGUCAGAAAAAGACCCAUCCCCCUUUUCUUUCCUUGCAAAAAGAAAAAAAACAAAAUUUCAAUGAUGAUCCUUCCGCAGGUUCACCUACGGAAA
rnacentral:misc_RNA from 1 species